GAUGAACGCUGGCGGCGUGCCUAAUACAUGCAAGUCGAGCGAACAGACGAGGAGCUUGCUCCUCUGACGUUAGCGGCGGACGGGUGAGUAACACGUGGAUAACCUACCUAUAAGACUGGGAUAACUUCGGGAAACCGGAGCUAAUACCGGAUAAUAUAUUGAACCGCAUGGUUCAAUAGUGAAAGACGGUUUUGCUGUCACUUAUAGAUGGAUCCGCGACGCAUUAGCUAGUUGGUAAGGUAACGGCUUACCAAGGCAACGAUGCGUAGCCGACCUGAGAGGGUGAUCGGCCACACUGGAACUGAGACACGGUCCCGACUCCUACGGGAGGCAGCAGUAGGGAAUCUUCCGCAAUGGGCGAAAGCCUGACGGAGCAGCGCCGCGUGAGUGAUGAAGGUCUUCGGAUCGUAAAACUCUGUUAUUAGGGAAGAACAAAUGUGUAAGUAACUAUGCACGUAUUGACGGUACCUAAUCAGAGAGCCACGGCUAACUACGUG
rnacentral:rRNA from 1 species